rnacentral:rRNA from 1 species
CUACGGGACGCAGCAGUGGGGAAUAUUGCACAAUGGGCGCAAGCCUGAUGCAGCAACGCCGCGUGAACGAAGAAGGUCUUCGGAUCGUAAAGUUCUUUUCUUAGGGAAGAAAAAUGACGGUACCUAAGGAAUAAGCACCGGCUAAAUACGUGCCAGCAGCCGCGGUAAUACGUAUGGUGCAAGCGUUAUCCGGAAUCACUGGGCGUAAAGGGAGCGUAGGCGGUUUUGCAAGUCAGAAGUGAAAGGCUACGGCUCAACCGUGGUAAGCUUUUGAAACUGCAAGACUAGAGUGCAGGAGAGGCAAGUGGAAUUCCUAGUGUAGAGGUGAAAUUCGUAGAUAUUAGGAGGAACACCAGUGGCGAAGGCGACUUGCUGGACUGUAACUGACGCUGAGGCUCGAAAGCGUGGGGAGCGAACAGGAUUAGAUACCCCUGUAGUC